AUCAGCAUGCCACGGUGAAUACGUUCCCGGGCCUUGUACACACCGCCCGUCACACCAUGGGAGUUGGUCUUACCCGACGGCGCUGCGCCAACCGCAAGGAGGCAGGCGACCACGGUAGGGUCAGCGACUGGGGUGAAGUCGUAACAAGGUAGCCGUAGGGGAACCUGCGGCUGGAUCACCUCCUUUCUAAGGA
rnacentral:rRNA from 1 species